rnacentral:rRNA from 1 species
CAGCAGCCGCGGUAAGACGAACCGUGCGAACGUUAUUCGGAAUCACUGGGCUUAAAGCGCGUGUAGGUGGGUGGGUACGUCCGUCGUUGAAAGCCCCCGGCUCAACCGGGGAACUGGCGCGGAUACGGCCUACCUGGAGGGACGUAGGGGGACCUGGAACUUCUGGUGGAGCGGUGAAAUGCGUUGAGAUCGGAAGGAACGCCCGUGGCGAAAGCGAGGUCCUGGACGUUUUCUGACACUGAGACGUGAAAGCCAGGGGAGCGAACGGGAUUAGAUACCCCUGUAGUCCCUGUCUCUUAUU